UCUAUUAAGUGGUAGCUGCUAGAUUUGUUAUGGUUUUCUAUGAAUCUGUUAGUCUUACUCUAAUUUUUAGCUCAUUAUAAGUGAUGUAUUCUCUUUUUCUAUUUAACACUUCAAUAUAUUUCAAUAAAGUUCAGUUCAUUCAUUCUCUAUCCUCUCUGAUUUUCUCAUUCACUUUCAUUUCUGAAUUUAACUGUUUGUUUUGUGGGAAAUUCAUAUGCUUAGAUUUUUCUUUCUUAAUAGGCUAAUAUGACCAUGUUAGAAGACGAACUACCAACAAAAAGAUGACUUUCAUCAGCCCUUGUCAAGGUAUAUUGAGAUGAUUUCUUUGGAGCAAUUCUUGACAACAUUUGUAGUUGA